UUUCCUUUCAUAUAUAUGUUGUUUGAUGUUACUCUAGUAGCAGAGAAAUAAAGACUCAGUUUCUACAUAAAACAAAUAGUAAGUAUCCAAAGCAGGACACACAGUGUAAAGUCAGUAUUAAUUUGUAUCAGAACCAGAUAUAGAAGUAGCAGGACUAAUGGUAGAAACAAUUGACAGCAGAAAGAGAAAUUGAAGAGGGAGAGAUACAGCCCCUAAG